UACCAGGAAGAAAGAGGGGAGUCACCCAUCUCCUUCAUGUUGCUUGUAGAGGCACCCUAUUCUGAUGUCUGCAGAAGCAGCUGUGGUGGCUACGAGUUUUCACGAAACUCCAUGACAGGCUAGGAGCAGUAGCAACAACAUGGAGGAACAGAGUAUACCAAGCAACUAGGAAGUGAUUUGUCUAAUAAUAAUGGCGAAUAUGUUCAUUCUUGAAAGAGAAAAUCCAAAUUCUCUCCCCCAAUAAAAUACAAUACAAUAACUGUCAA